rnacentral:misc_RNA from 1 species
UUAAGUUCAGCGGGUAUCCCUACCUGAUCCGAGGUCAAACUGUGGAAGGGGUCUUGAUGGUUGUCGGUCGAGUUUCACAAGCCUCCAGAAGCGCAAUGCGCUGCGCGUGGGCAAAAACACAGACGACUGCCAAUACCUUUGAGGCGAGUCCGCGCACGAAGACGGGACAGACGCCCAACACCAAGCAGAGCUUGAGGGGG